CGACAAUAAUUAUAUCAAACAUACCUCUCAUUAUAAAAAAGAUAAUUAAAAGAAAUAUCAUCACGAUAGUUGAUGCGGUAUCAAUUAAAUUUCCCUCUUAUAUCAAUCAGGGUGGAUUUUUUCUUUCUGGAAAACUAUUUCCGACUCCGACUCCAAAAGUCACUCAUAAAUGUUAAAUUAAAGCGUUUUUAUAUUAGGCUCCAAAAGUCAUUGCUCCUCAACUGUUAAUAGAAAAGACCCCUCAGUAAAACUUCUAAUCUAAUUUCAGAGAUCAUACAAACAAAAUUGAGAACAACAAUGGCAAGAUCCAUUUGAUCAUCAACAUUUUGAUGACGAGAAAAUAUGUAUACCAGAAAACCCAUGUUCAUUGGAUCGGCAUCUUCUGAUUCUUAUGAAAUCUCUCUCAUUGGGGGAUAAGUUGGUGCGGAAAUGGUUGAGUUAUGAGUUUGGGAGGCAGAGGGUGUUGAAGAUUUUUCCUUCAUUUUCAUGGCGGGCAACGUUGAGAUGCUAAAGAAUCUCUGCAUUCUUAUCGGG